AAUAGAUGCGGCCGUUGAUUUUUUUUUCCACAUGUUUGACCAUUCGUCUUAUUCAAAAAAUUUACGUAAUUAUAAUUUAUUUUAUUAUGAGUUGUUUUAUCACUCAUAGUACUUUAAGUGUGAUUUAUAUCUUAUACAUUUGUAUAAAAUUUUUGAAUAAGACGAAUGAUCAAACAUGUGAGAAAAAGUCAACGGCGUCAUCUAUU
rnacentral:pre_miRNA from 1 species